UUGAAAUAAACCUGAUGGGUUGUUGCUGGUUCUCUAGGGAGCAUGUGCACGCCUUGUCAUCUUUAUAUCUCCACCUGUGCACCUUUUGUAGGCCCUGGAUGUUUUUCUCCAUGGUCUAUGUUGCUUCUGCAUUUACCCCAAUGUAUGUUAACAGAAUGUUUGUGCCUUAUGAAAUCUAUA
rnacentral:misc_RNA from 1 species